rnacentral:lncRNA from 10 species
AUGCUGGUGGUGGGUGCAGGGCUGCUGGGAGCCGCUGCAUGGGUCCCAGAGGCUGGACUGGGGCAGGUGCCAACUGAAGCUGCUGGGGCAGCAUGGGCAGGAUGUUCUGCACACAAACCUUGAAGAAGAAGAUGUGUGCAUAGCGGGUCCACUGCUGCUGCCCCUGCCCUGACUCCCAGCCCUGCCUGACCCCACCUCACCCUGCUCAGGCUCUGGCGCAACCCUGGCUGCCCUGCCACUGCCUCUGCCCCAGAGUUGGGGCCUCGACAGCCUGGCUGGAAGGGGCACCCCAGCCCUGCCUCAACACCUGGGUCCCUCCAUAACUACCACAGGCAGGUGGGCGACCCCAAAGAAGAUCCCAGGACUCACAGUACCCCGUGAGAACAUGGACAUUAUGUGGGGGUAG